rnacentral:rRNA from 1 species
ACAAUGGGCGCAAGCCUGAUGCAGCGACGCCGCGUGAGGGAUGGAGGCCUUCGGGUUGUAAACCUCUUUUAUCGGGGAGCAAGCGUGAGUGAGUUUACCCGUUGAAUAAGCACCGGCUAACUACGUGCCAGCAGCCGCGGUAAUACGUAGGGUGCAAGCGUUAUCCGGAAUUAUUGGGCGUAAAGGGCUCGUAGGCGGUUCGUCGCGUCCGGUGUGAAAGUCCAUCGCUUAACGGUGGAUCCGCGCCGGGUACGGGCGGGCUUGAGUGCGGUAGGGGAGACUGGAAUUCCCGGUGUAACGGUGGAAUGUGUAGAUAUCGGGAAGAACACCAAUGGCGAAGGCAGGUCUCUGGGCCGUUACUGACGCUGAGGAGCGAAAGCGUG